ACUCCUACGGGAGGCAGCAGUGGGGAAUAUUGCACAAUGGGGGAAACCCUGAUGCAGCCAUGCCGCGUGUGUGAAGAAGGCCUUGGGUUGUAAAGCACUUUCAGUAGGGAGGAAGGUAGUGUAGUUAACACCUGCAUUAUUUGUACGUUACCUACAGAAGAAGCACCGGCUAACUCCGUGCCAGCAGCCGCGGUAAGUACGGAGGGUGCGAGCGUUAAUCGGAAUUACGUGGGCGUAAAGCGCAUGCAGGCGGCCUGUUAAGUCAGAUGUGAAACGCCCGGGGUCUUAACCGUCGGAAUUGCAUUUGAAACUGGCAGGCUAGAGUCUUGUAGAGGGGUUAGAAUUUCAGGUGUAGCGGUGAAAUGCGUAGAGAUCUGAAGGAAUACCGAGUGGCGAACGGCGGCCCCCGUGG
rnacentral:rRNA from 1 species